rnacentral:rRNA from 1 species
UACAGAGGUCUCGAGCGUUAGGCGGAAUCACUGGGCUUAAAGCGCGUGUAGGCGGAUCGUUAAGUGCCUUGUGAAAUCCCACGGCUUAACCGUGGAACGGCUGGGCAUACUGGCGAUCUUGAGCCACCUAGGGGCCUGCGGAACAAGCGGUGGAGCGGUGAAAUGCGUAGAUAUCUGGAGGAACACCGGUGGCGAAAGCGGCUCACUGGACCGUAACUGACGCUAAUGUGCGAAUGCUAGGGGAGCAACCGGG